CUGAUGAUUGUAAGAUGAAGUCUGUA
rnacentral:sRNA from 1 species